AGUCGAGCGAGAUCUUCGGAUCUAGCGGCGGACGGGUGAGUAACGCGUGGGAACGUGCCCUUUGCUACGGAAUAGUCCCGGGAAACUGGGUUUAAUACCGUAUACGCCCUUCGGGGGAAAGAUUUAUCGGCAAAGGAUCGGCCCGCGUUGGAUUAGGUAGUUGGUGGGGUAAUGGCCUACCAAGCCGACGAUCCAUAGCUGGUUUGAGAGGAUGAUCAGCCACACUGGGACUGAGACACGGCCCAGACUCCUACGGGAGGCAGCAGUGGGGAAUCUUAGACAAUGGGGGCAACCCUGAUCUAGCCAUGCCGCGUGAGUGAUGAAGGCCUUAGGGUUGUAAAGCUCUUUCAGCUGGGAAGAUAAUGACGGUACCAGGCAGAAGAAGCCCCGGCUAAACUCCGUGCCAGCAGCCGCGGUAAUACGGGANGGGGCUAAGCGUUGUUCGGAAUUACUGGGGCGUAAAGCGCACGUAGGCNGGACGGGA
rnacentral:rRNA from 1 species